GACGAACGCUGGCGGCGUGCUUAACACAUGCAAGUCGAGCGGUAAGGCCCUUUCGGGGGUACACGAGCGGCGAACGGGUGAGUAACACGUGGGUGACCUGCCCUCAGCUCUGGGAUAAGCCUGGGAAACCGGGUCUAAUACCGGAUAUGACUCCAUGACGCAUGUUGUGGGGUGGAAAGCCUUGUGCGGCUGAGGAUGGGCCCGCGGCCUAUCAGCUUGUUGGUGGGGUGAUGGCCUACCAAGGCGACGACGGGUAGCCGGCCUGAGAGGGCGACCGGCCACACUGGGACUGAGACACGGCCCAGACUCCUACGGGAGGCAGCAGUGGGGAAUCUUGCGCAAUGGGCGAAAGCCUGACGCAGCGACGCCGCGUGGGGA
rnacentral:rRNA from 1 species